GAUGAACGCUAGCGGCAGGCCUAAUACAUGCAAGUAAAGGGGAUAGCAAUAUCACCGGCGGACGGGUGCGUAACGCGUACACAACGUGCCCAAGGGCGGAGGAAAGCGGCGGGAAACUGCCGGUAAUACUCCAUGGUGUUGUUGAGUGGCAUCACUUAACAACUAAAGUACAAGCGCCCUUGGAUCGGUGUGCGUUCGAUUAGCUAGUUGGCGGGGUAACGGCCCACCAAGGCUUCGAUCGAUAGGGGGUGUGAGAGCAUGACCCCCCACACGGGUACUGAGACACGGACCCGACUCCUACGGGAGGCAGCAGUAAGGAAUAUUGGACAAUGGGCGGAAGCCUGAUCCAGCCAUGCCGCGUGAAGGACGAAGGCGCUCAGCGUUGUAAACUUCUUUUGGAUGGGAACAAUAACUCCGACUUGUCGGAACUUGAGGGUACCAUCAGAAUAAGCACCGGCUAACUCCGUG
rnacentral:rRNA from 1 species